CAUCCUCCAAGGCUAAAUACUCCUGACUGACCGAUAGUGAACCAGUACCGUGAGGGAAAGGCGAAAAGAACCCCGGCGAGGGGAGUGAAAAAGAACCUGAAACCGUGUACGUACAAGCAGUGGGAGCCGCUUAGGCGUGUGACUGCGUACCUUUUGUAUAAUGGGUCAGCGACUUAUAUUCUGUAGCAAGGUUAACCGAAUAGGGGAGCCGAAGGGAAACCGAGUCUUAACUGGGCGUUAAGUUGCAGGGUAUAGACCCGAAACCCGGUGAUCUAGCCAUGGGCAGGUUGAAGGUUGGGUAACACUAACUGGAGGACCGAACCGACUAAUGUUGAAAAAUUAGCGGAUGACUUGUGGCUGGGGGUGAAAGGCCAAUCAAACCGGGAGAUAGCUGGUUCUCCCCGAAAGCUAUUUAGGUAGCGCCUCGUGAACUCAUCUCCGGGGGUAGAGCACUGUUUCGGCAAGGGGGUCAUCCCGACUUACCAACCCGAUGCAAACUGCGAAUACCGGAGAAUGUUAUCACGGGAGACACACGGCGGGUGCUAACGUCCGUCGUGAA
rnacentral:rRNA from 1 species